AGGUCUGUAGCUCAGUGGCAGAGCAUCUGCUCUGCAUGCAGAAGGUCCCGGGUUCAAAUCCCCAGGCAUCUCUAGGUCCU